rnacentral:rRNA from 1 species
AGCGGCGAACGGGUGAGUAACACGUGGGUAACCUGCCCUGGAGUGGGGGAUAACCUGGGGAAACUCGGGCUAAUACCGCAUACGACCUCAGCACUGCGGUGCUGAGAGGAAAGCUGGCCAAUUCUUGAAAGCUGGCGCUCCUGGAGGGGCCCGCGCCCGAUUAGCUUGUUGGUGAGGUAACGGCUCACCAAGGCGGUGAUCGGUAGCCGGCCUGAGAGGGCGAUCGGCCACACUGGGACUGAGACACGGCCCAGACUCCUACGGGAGGCAGCAGUGGGGAAUAUUGGACAAUGGGCGCAAGCCUGAUCCAGCAACGCCGCGUGGAGGACGAAGGCCUUCGGGUCGUAAACUCCUGUCAGUUGGGACGAAAAGUCGUCGGUCAAUAGCCGGCGAUCAUGACGGUACCAGCAGAGGAAGCCCCGGCUAACUCCGUGCCAGCAGCCGCGGUAAUACGGAGGGGGCUAGCGU